CACGAAGUUAGCCGGGGCUUCUUCUGCGGGUACCGUCAUUAUCGUCCCCGCCGAAAGAGCUUUACAACCCUAAGGCCUUCAUCACUCACGCGGCAUGGCUGGAUCAGGCUUGCGCCCAUUGUCCAAUAUUCCCCACUGCUGCCUCCCGUAGGAGUCUGGGCCGUGUCUCAGUCCCAGUGUGGCUGAUCAUCCUCUCAGACCAGCUACUGAUCGUCGCCUUGGUGAGCCAUUACCUCACCAACUAGCUAAUCAGACGCGGGCCACUCCUUCAGCGAUAAAUCUUUCCCCCGUAGGGCGUAUCCGGUAUUAGCCCAAGUUUCCCUGGGUUAUUCCAAACUAAAGGGCAUGUUCCCACGCGUUACUCACCCGUCUGCCACUCACCCCGAAGGAUGCGUUCGACUUGCAUGUGUUAAGACUGCCGCCAGCGUUCGUUCUGUAGCCAGGAUCAAACUAC
rnacentral:rRNA from 1 species